rnacentral:rRNA from 1 species
AUUGAACGCUGGCGGCAGGCUUAACACAUGCAAGUCGAGCGGGGGAAGGUAGCUUGCUACCGGACCUAGCGGCGGACGGGUGAGUAAUGCUUAGGAAUCUGCCUAUUAGUGGGGGACAACAUCUCGAAAGGGAUGCUAAUACCGCAUACGUCCUACGGGAGAAAGCAGGGGAUCUUCGGACCUUGCGCUAAUAGAUGGGCCUAAGUCGGAUUAGCUAGUUGGUGGGGUAAAGGCCUACCAAGGCGACGAUCUGUAGCGGGUCUGAGAGGAUGAUCCGCCACACUGGGACUGGGACACGGCCCAGACUCCUACGGGAGGCAGCAGUGGGGAAUAUUGGACAAUGGGGGGAACCCUGAUCCAGCCAUGCCGCGUGUGUGAAGAAGGCCUUAUGGUUGUAAAGCACUUUAAGCGAGGAGGAGGCUACUCUAGUUAAUACCUAGGGAUAGUGGACGUUACUCGCAGAAUAAGCACCGGCUAACUCUGUGCCAGCCGCCGCCGUAAGAC